GGAAGUAGUUGCACACUGUGAGGUGUAAGAUUGCAGAUUUGUGCAAAUGCAUCGCAUUUGUAUAGGUAGCUUUACUUUUACCUUCUUUGCUGUCGUUUGCAAAAAAAACCCAAAUGUUUGUGGUUAAAUAUUUGCCUUUUAUUGUCUAAAUAUAAAUCUCAGGACAGGGACAGUAUGCUGGGUGGCUCUUUACCUUUUGAAUUGGUCUGUGUAUAGUUCCCCUCCCCCAAUUGUACAGCGCUGCAGAAAAUUUUGGCGCUUUAUAAAUGCCACUAAUACAAAUAACAUAUAUUAUAACUGUUUUUAAAUGCAAC